GACGAACGCUGGCGGCGUGCUUAACACAUGCCAGUCGAACGGAAAGGCCCUGCUUGCAGGGUACUCGAGUGGCGAACGGGUGAGUAACACGUGGGUGAUCUGCCCUGCACUUCGGGAUAAGCCUGGGAAACUGGGUCUAAUACCGGAUAGGAGCCAUUUUUAGUGUGAUGGUUGGAAAGUUUUUUCGGUGUAGGAUGAGCUCGCGGCCUAUCAGCUUGUUGGUGGGGUAAUGGCCUACCAAGGCGGCGACGGGUAGCCGGCCUGAGAGGGUGGACGGCCACAUUGGGACUGAGAUACGGCCCAGACUCCUACGGGAGGCAGCAGUGGGGAAUAUUGCACAAUGGGCGCAAGCCUGAUGCAGCGACGCCGCGUGGGGGAUGACGGCCUUCGGGUUGUAAUCUCCUUUCGCUAGGGACGAAGCUUUUUGUGACGGUACCUAGAUAAGAAGCACCGGCUAACUACGUG
rnacentral:rRNA from 1 species